GACGCUGGCGGCAGGCUAACACCUGCAAGUCCCGAACGGUAACAGGAUGUGCUUGCACAUCGCUGACGAGUGGCGGACGGGUGAGUAAUGCUUAGGGAUCUGCCUCUGUGUGGGGGAUAACUAUUGGAAACGAUAGCUAAUACCGCAUAAUGUUUACGGACCAAAGGGGGCGUUUGCUCCCGCGCAGAGAGGAACCUAAGUGAGAUUAGCUAGUUGGUAAGGUAAUGGCUUACCAAGGCGACGAUCUCUAGCUGUUCUGAGAGGAAGAUCAGCCACACUGGGACUGAGACACGGCCCAGACUCCUACGGGAGGCAGCAGUGGGGAAUAUUGCACAAUGGGGGGAACCCUGAUGCAGCCAUGCCGCGUGUGUGAAGAAGGCCUUCGGGUUGUAAAGCACUUUCAGUUGUGAGGAAAGGUUAGUAGUUAAUACCUGCUAGCUGUGACGUUAGCAACAGAAGAAGCACCGGCUAACUCCGUGCCAGCAGCCGCGGUAAUACGGAGGGUGCGAGCGUUAAUCGGAAUUACUGGGCGUAAAGCGCACGCAGGCGGUUUGUUAAGCUAGAUGUGAAAGCCCCGAGCUCAGCUUGGGAUGGUCAUUUAGAACUGGCAGACUAAGUCUUGGAGAGGGGAGUGGCAAUUCUAGUGUAGCGGUGAAAU
rnacentral:rRNA from 1 species